UUAAGUUUUGGGUUUAGGUUAAGGUUAUAGGUUUACGUUAUAGGUUAAGGUUAUAGGUUAAGGUUAUAGGUUUAGGUUAGGUAUAGGUUUAGGUUAUAGGUUAUAGCUUUGGGAAUUGAGAAUAUGUUAAGGUUUAGGUUUAGGAAACCGGGUUCGGGUUCGGGAUCGGGUUUAGGCUUGGGUUUUCAAGUUUAGGUUUAGGUUUAGGUUAGGGAGUUGAGAUUAAGAUUUGGUGUAGGUUUAGGUUUAGGGAUUUGAGAAUAGGUUAAGGUUUAGGUUUAGGAAAUCGGGUUCGGGUUCGAGAUCGAGUUUAGGCUUGGGUUUUCAUGUUUAGGUUUAAGUUUAGGUUAGGGAGUUGAGAUUAGGAUUUGGUGUAGGUUUAGGUUUAGGGAUUUGAGAAUAGGUUAAGGUUUAGGUUUAGGUUUAGGUUUAGGUUUUAGUUUAUAGGUUUAGGUUAUAGGUUUAGGUUUUGGUUUUAGGUUUAGGUUAAGGUUAUAAGUUUAGGUUAUAGGUUAUAGGUUAUAGGUUAAGGUUUAGGUUAUAGGUUUUGGUUUAGGUUAAGGUUAUAGGUUUUGGUUUAGGUUAAGGUUUAGGUUUUGGGUUUAGGUUAAGGUUAUAGGUUUAGGUUAUAGGUUAUAGCUUUGGGAAUUGAGAAUAGGUUAAGGUUUAAGUUCAGGAAAUCGGGUUCGGGUUCGGGAUCGGGUUUUGGUUUGGGUUUUCAAGUUUAGGUUUUGGUUUAGGUUAGGGAGUUGAGAUAAGGAUUUGGUGUAGGUUUAGGUUUAGGGAUUUGAGAAUAGGUUAGGGUUUAGGUUUAGGAAAUUAGGUUCGGGUUCGGGAUCAGGUUUAGGCUUGGGUUUUUAUGUUUAAGUUUAGGUUUUGGUUAGGGA